rnacentral:lncRNA from 1 species
UUCGAAUAGUUGGGAAAGUAGUUUAUCAUGCACUUCAGUAGCCAAUCUCACAGAUGAAGAACAAUGACAGCCUCUUCUCUAUUGAGCAAAGAGAAGGGGAGUCACUCAGAGACUAUAUGGUGCAUUUCAACACUGCCACAUUUGAAGUCUGAGACUUUAAUGAAUUCGUCACCAUGUCGGUGAUGAAUUGAGGACUCAAAGAUGAAUGCCUAAUCUUUUUUCUCAACAAAAACUUUUUGAAGGAUCAUAUUGAUCUUCUUACUCAAGCAUGAAAGUAUACACA